rnacentral:rRNA from 1 species
GACGAACCGUGCGAACGUUGUUCGGAAUCACUGGGCGUAAAGGGCUCGUAGGCGGCCAACUAAGUCGGACGUGAAAUCCCCAGGCUCAACCUGGGAACUGCGUCCGAUACUGGAUGGCUUGAAUCCGGGAGAGGGAUGCAGAAUUCCAGGUGUAGCGGUGAAAUGCGUAGAGAUGUGGAGGAACACCGAUGGCGAAGGCAGCCCCCUGGGCUAACACUGACGCUCAUGCACGAAAGCGUGGGGAGCAAACAGG